UACGAAGGGGGCUAGCGUUGCUCGGAAUCACUGGGCGUAAAGGGUGCGUAGGCGGGUCUUUAAGUCAGGGGUGAAAUCCUGGAGCUCAACUCCAGAACUGCCUUUGAUACUGAGGAUCUUGAGUUCGGGAGAGGUGAGUGGAACUGCGAGUGUAGAGGUGAAAUUCGUAGAUAUUCGCAAGAACACCAGUGGCGAAGGCGGCUCACUGGCCCGGUACUGACGCUGAGGCACGAAGGUCAGGGGAGCAAACGGG
rnacentral:rRNA from 1 species